GGUGGCUCACUAGUAGAGUACUUGCCUUGCAUGCAUGAAGCCCUAGGUUCGAUUCCUCAGCACCA
rnacentral:tRNA from 1 species